rnacentral:rRNA from 1 species
AACGAACGCUGGCGGCAUGCCUAACACAUGCAAGUCGAACGAUGCCUUCGGGCAUAGUGGCGCACGGGUGCGUAACGCGUGGGAAUCUGCCUUUCGGUUCGGAAUAACUCAGGGAAACUUGAGCUAAUACCGGAUAACGUCGCAAGACCAAAGAUUUAUCACCGAAAGAUGAGCCCGCGUAGGAUUCGCUAGUUGGUGAGGUAAAGGCUCACCAAGGCGACGAUCCUUAGCUGGUCUGAGAGGAUGAUCAGCCACACUGGGACUGAGACACGGCCCAGACUCCUACGGGAGGCAGCAGUGGGGAAUAUUGGACAAUGGGCGAAAGCCUGAUCCAGCAAUGCCGCGUGAGUGAUGAAGGCCUUAGGGUUGUAAAGCUCUUUUACCCGGGAAGAUAAUGACGGUACCGGGAGAAUAAGCCCCGGCUAACUCCGUG